rnacentral:rRNA from 1 species
UACGAAGGUCCCGAGCGUUAUUCGGAAUCACUGGGCGUAAAGGGAGCGUAGGCGGCGUGGAAAGUCAGAUGUGAAAUCCCGGGGCUCAACCCCGGAACUGCAUCCGAUACUACCAUGCUAGAGUAUUGGAGGGGUAACUGGAAUUCUCGGUGUAGCAGUGAAAUGCGUAGAUAUCGAGAGGAACACUCGUGGCGAAAGCGAGUUACUGGACAAUGACUGACGCUGAGGAUCGAAGGCUAGGGGAGCAAAAGGG